rnacentral:sRNA from 1 species
CUUGGUCAUUUAGAGGAAGUAAAAGUCGUAACAAGGUCUCCGUAGGUGAACCUGCGGAGGGAUCAUUACAAGUGACCCCGGUCUAACCACCGGGAUGUUCAUAACCCUUUGUUGUCCGACUCUGUUGCCUCCGGGGCGACCCUGCCUUCGGGCGGGGGCUCCGGGUGGACACUUCAAACUCUUGCGUAACUUUGCAGUCUGAGUAAACUUAAUUAAUAAAUUAAAACUUUUAACAACGGAUCUCUUGGUUCUGGCAUCGAUGAAGAACGCAGCGAAAUGCGAUAAGUAAUGUGAAUUGCAGAAUUCAGUGAAUCAUCGAAUCUUUGAACGCACAUUGCGCCCCCUGGCAUUCCGGGGGGCAUGCCUGUUCGAGCGUCAUUUCACCACUCAAGCCUCGCUUGGUAUUGGGCAACGCGGUCCGCCGCGUGCCUCAAAUCGACCGGCUGGGUCUUCUGUCCCCUAAGCGUUGUGGAAACUAUUCGCUAAAGGGUGUUCGGGAGGCUACGCCGUAAAACAACCCCAUUUCUAAGGUUGACCUCGGAUCAGGUAGGGAUACCCGCUGAACUUAAGCAUAUCAAUAAGCGGAGGAAAAGAAACCAACAGGGAUUGCUCUAGUAACGGCGAGUGAAGCAGCAAUAGCUCAAAUUUGAAAUCUGGCGUCUUCGACGUCCGAGUUGUAAUUUGUAGAGGAUGCUUCUGAGUAACCACCGACCUAAGUUCCUUGGAACAGGACGUCAUAGAGGGUGAGAAUCCCGUAUGCGGUCGGAAAGGUGCUCUAUACGUAGCUCCUUCGACGAGUCGAGUUGUUUGGGAAU